UACGUAGGGUGCGAGCGUUGUCCGGAAUUAUUGGGCGUAAAGAGCUCGUAGGCGGUCUGUUGCGUCAGGAGUGAAAACUCGGGGCUUAACCCCGAGCCUGCUUCUGAUACUGGCAGACUAGAGGUAUGCAGGGGAGAACGGAAUUCCUGGUGUAGCGGUGAAAUGCGCAGAUAUCAGGAGGAACACCGGUGGCGAAGGCGGUUCUCUGGGCAUUACCUGACGCUGAGGAGCGAAAGUGUGGGGAGCGAACAGG
rnacentral:rRNA from 1 species